rnacentral:lncRNA from 1 species
GGAAAAAGGUGAUAGAAUGAGUAUUUAUUAAGCAUCUAUUAUGUGCUAGGCACUGUGCUAAGUACUUUUCAAAUAUUAUCUCCUUUGGUCCUCAUAAGAACCCUUUAAGGUGGCUACUACUAUUAUCUCCAUAUUGUAAUUGAGAAAACUGAGGCAGACAGGUUAAGUGACUUGUCCAGAGUCUCACAACUAGCAAGUGCCCGACACUCGGGUCUUCCAGAUUUGUAACCUCUCUACUGCUUAGCACAGUUUGCAUACAUGGUGAACACUUAAUAAAUGCUUCUUGACUGAUCAAAUUAUACCUCUUGGGUCCCAAUUUCUCCAUGUGUAAAAUGAAGAGCUUGGAUUCAAUCAACAUUCUAUUGCAGUAUGACUCAGAUUUCCUUAGAGCUCUAAGAUUCAGGAAUUCUAGGAAAAGUAUUGAAAAUAUUGGCAUCCUGGUAAUAAUUAAUGCAGCAGCAUUCUGAAAGGAUGAAUGAAUCCUCUUCUGUGUCUAAUUCCUAGUAGGGGCAACUUGAAAAUGGAGGAGAACAAGACUUGGUGUUUCCCAAAGUUUCUACAAACUUGCCUUAUGCAGACAUUCCAAAGGCCAGUUUACUUUCUCCUGGAUGAAUUCCCAAGGAUCAAGGACAACAUGGCAGAAGAUACUAUUUCAAGGCACAAAAGAAAGCAGACUGAGGUAGAACAUGCUGGGUAGGAGAAUACAUGUAUAACAGAACAUGUCCAAAAUCUAACUAGGAGGUUUUCCAUAAGGUAAAUUCUCAUGUUCCUUAGUUUCCCCAUCUGUUAAACUGGGUGUGUGGGGGGGACUGCAUCAUCAUUAAAUGCCAUUUCUAUUCUGACAUUCCAUAAUUCAUAAAAAUCAUGAUCUCUUAGAGCUUGACUAGAUUUCUUUGCCUUAAUAGAAAAUAAUCAGAGUCAUGUUUAACGUUUACUCAAGACUUUUGGUAUUGUAAAACUGCAGUGAUAAGAUUUCAAACAUCACUCCUAUGGGAACACUGGAUAUCAUGAGUCACAGUAUUUAAAGCUAGAAGAAUUCUUAAAGAUCAAGUAGUCUAAGUUUCUCAUUUUGCAGAUGAGGAAAUUGAGACCUAGAUAAGCAAAGUAACUUGCCCAAAGGUCAUACAAGAUGACAAAUGGUUAAGCCAGAAUCCAACAGGUCUUCUGACUCCUAGGGCAGUAUCUUUUCCACUGUGUAUUAUACUUCUUCCCAUUCUGGGCACCAGAUCUCUUCCUAUGUGGAUCUUUUAUCACAGUAGCAAAGGGAAGCACAUCAUUUCAUGCUUUUGUCUAGAGCUUUGGAUAGGAUAGAAAGAACAUUGGGCAACUAAACUAAGAGAGACAUGGGAUCUAGCCCCAUGAGUCAGCCCUACAUGAGCAGUGCAGCUUGGGGCAAGUCACAACUUCUUAGAGGUACAGUUUCUUGUAAAUUGAGAUAAUCAUAUUUGUUAUAUUUGAACAAAUGAAAUAAUAUAAUAAAA